CACGUAGGGACCAAGCGUUGUCCGGAUUUAUUGGGCGUAAAGAGCUCGUAGGCGGCUUGGUAAGUCGGGUGUGAAACCUCCAGGCUCAACCUGGUGACGCCACCCGAUACUGCCAUAGCUUGAGUUCGGUAGGGGAGCGGGGAAUUCCUGGUGUAGCGGUGAAAUGCGCAGAUAUCAGGAAGAACACCAGUGGCGAAGGCAGCCUCUCUGGGCAACGGAUCACUGAG
rnacentral:rRNA from 1 species